UACGGGGGGGGCAAGCGUUGCUCGGAAUCACUGGGCGUAAAGCGCACGUAGGCGGAUUGUUAAGUCGGGGGUGAAAUCCUGGAGCUCAACUCCAGAACUGCCUUCGAUACUGGCGAUCUCGAGUUCGGGAGAGGUGAGUGGAACUGCGAGUGUAGAGGUGAAAUUCGUAGAUAUUCGCAAGAACACCAGUGGCGAAGGCGGCUCACUGGCCCGAUACUGACGCUGAGGUGCGAAAGCGUGGGGAGCAAACAGG
rnacentral:rRNA from 1 species